rnacentral:rRNA from 1 species
AUUGAACGCUGGCGGCAGGCUUAACACAUGCAAGUCGAGCGAGCGGCGGACGGGUGAGUAAUGUCUGGGAAACUGCCUGAUGGAGGGGGAUAACUACUGGAAACGGUAGCUAAUACCGCAUACCAUCAGAUGUGCCCAGAUGGGAUUAGCUAGUAGGUGGGGUAAUGGCUCACCUAGGCGACGAUCCCUAGCGGGUCUGAGAGGAUGAACAGCCACACUGGAACGGAGACACGGUCCAGAUUCCUGCGGGAGGCAGCAGUGGGGAAUAUUGCACAUUGGGCGAAAGCCUUAUGCAGCAUUGCCGCGUGUGUGAAGAAGGCCUACGGGUUGUAAAGCGCUUUCAGCGAUGAGGCGUUACUUGCAGAAGAAGCACCGGCUAACUCCGUGCCAGCAGCCGCGGUAAUUC